rnacentral:rRNA from 1 species
CCUACGGGAGGCAGCAGUGAGGAAUAUUGGUCAAUGGGCUUACGCCUGAACCAGCCAAGUCGCGUGAGGGAAGACUGCCCUAUGGGUUGUAAACCUCUUUUGUCAGGGAGUAACGCCGGCUACGCGUAGCCGGACUCAUAGUACCUGCAGAAAAAGCAUCGGCUACCUCCGUCCCAGCGGCCGGGGUAAUACGGAGAUUGGGAGGUUUAUCCGGUUUUAUUGGGUUUAAAGGGUGCGUGGGCGGAAUGCCAAGUCAGGGGUAAAAUCGUGGGCCUCAACCUCGAUUCGCCGUUGAAACUGGCGUGCUUGAGUGGGCGAGAGGUAGGCGGAAUGCGUGGUGUAGCGGUGAAAUGCAUAGAUAUCACGCAGAACUCCGAUUGCGAAGGCAGCAUGCCGGCGCCCGACUGACGCUGAAGCACGAAAGCGUGGGUAUCGAACAGGAUUAGAUACCCUGGUAGUC